GUCUGAAUUGUGUGGGUGUGGGUUCCCUGCACCUGGGGUGGGUGGCUGGGGGGAUGGCCCCUUUUGAGAUCUUCACUAGAUCCCUUCUCUAUGGGUCUGAAUAUCUGCAUGCAAACUUGGCCUGCAUUCAUGGAGAAAAAGCCUGGAAUCGAUGCCCUGAGAACAUUUCCAACCAUGAAAGGGGGAGACGGGGAACCGGCCAUUAGGAGUAUCUACUAAGUGCCAACUUAAGGUGUUCAGAUGCUUCCUCUAUGUAGAGCAACUCUGAGUGGACACAUAUCCUGGGAAGGACAGGAAUGGGGCCCGUCCGGACAGACAGAGAAGCUGGCAGCACAGCAUCUGAUGGAGCCAGCUUCUGCUCACAGGUUGCCAAUUUCAGCUCCUGACUUAAAAUACAACGGCCCCCUGGAACACGAUGAAGCCUGGUCAAUCAGCUUUCCAGUUACAGAGGCCACUAGCAGACGGAAUGAGUGGUUUCGGCUGGCGCAUCGGUACCUUGUACAAUACUGAACUCCUCAAGCGCUCCGAGGUUCAUUUGGUCAUUCGGUUUUCAUUGAGCAGCUACUAUGUGCCAGGAAAUGUGCUAAGCAGUGGGGUUCCCACAGAAUGAACCCACAGGUACAGAAGUGGAAGCGGAAGGUAGAAAGGGAGGGUGGAGAAGAAGAGGGAGGACAUAUUUUACCUAAUGUCUUUGCUGGUCUAUUGAUUGAAGCCUCAAAAUGGAAAGUGGAGAAUACACCCGAGACAGUAAUAGCCCAUAGCAAUAUUGGUAUUGAUGUCAGUUUUUAUUUUUAAAUAACUGUACACGUAAAUAGAAUCCAGGAUGUUUGUUUCUGGAAUUUUCUAUUUGAGCCGUCAGAGAUGGUAGCAUCUAAGGCAUGGUUGGUACCCAGAAAGUCAUAGAUGAGAUUCGGUGCUGAAAACCUGCAGCCCUUAACACAGGCUGGCUGAAAACUGGGAUAGAUUGGCUAUGGCUAGAACUCUAGGGGUUUUUUUCCUCCAUUUUUUAAUAGUGAAUUUUUAAAUGUGAUUUUAGAAUUGGACAGAAAAAGCGUCUCAACCAAUGCUGUGCAUUUGAAAAAGAUGCCAAAUCACUCCACAGGGAGAUUUAUAAUUCAGUCCACUACUGCUUUAUGUCUAGAAGCAAACAGAGUAAGUACUUUGUUGCUAAGGGGAUUAAUUAGUUAAUAUUUAUAAAGGGCUUUAAAGGUAAAAAAUGCUCUAUAAAUGUAAAGUAUUAUUAAUAUCACCAGCAAUUCUACUGCUUUCAUAUUAGGUAGAAAGACUUGUUCUUUAGCCUGGUUAUAGAUUCUUCUGGUGAAAAUAAGAAGGACAAAAAGAACAGCAAGAACUCACAAAAGAGUGUGGCCCACUGGUUUUUGUCUAUUUUAAAGGAAUUUCCAUAAUCGAACAAGGCUUUCUUCCAACACGGGAAUACGUGGCCCACAAUUCUUUUUAUUUGCUAUGUUGGUAUCAUGCCCCUUGCCUCUUCCGUAAGUCUUGCUUUCCC
rnacentral:lncRNA from 12 species